UAAACGGCUCCUCUUGGAGCCACUGCAGUUCGGAAUUCGGAUACUU
rfam:Calocera cornea HHB12733 unplaced genomic scaffold CALCOscaffold_19, whole genome shotgun sequence.